rnacentral:rRNA from 1 species
CACGUAGGGUGCGAGCGUUGUCCGGAAUUACUGGGCGUAAAGGGCGCGUAGGCGGCACGGCAAGUCGGGAGUGAAAGCCCGGGGCUCAACCCCGGAACGUCUUUCGAAACUGCCGAGCUAGAGUGCGGAAGGGGCAACUGGAAUUCCCAGUGUAGCGGUGAAAUGCGUAGAUAUUGGGAAGAACACCUGAGGCGAAGGCGGGUUGCUGGGCCGACACUGACGCUGAGGCGCGAAAGCCAGGGGAGCGAACGGG